AGAGUUUGAUCAUGGCUCAGGAUGAACGCUGGCGGCGUGCCUAAUACAUGCAAGUCGUGCGGUAAGGCCCUUCGGGGUACACGAGCGGCGGACGGCUGAGUAACACGUAGGAACGUACCCCAAAGUGAGGGAUAACUGCUCGAAAGAGUAGCUAAUACCGCAUGUGCUCUACGGAGUAAAGCUUCGGCGCUUUGGGAACGGCCUGCGUCCGAUUAGCUAGUUGGUAGUGUAAUGGACUACCAAGGCGACGAUCGGUAGCUGGUCUGAGAGGAUGAUCAGCCAGACUGGGACUGAGACACGGCCCAGACUCCUACGGGAGGCAGCAGUGGGGAAUUGUUCGCAAUGGGCGCAAGCCUGACGACGCAACGCCGCGUGGAGGAUGAAGACCUUCGGGUCGUAAACUCCUGUCGAGCGGGACGAAUAGCUUCGGGGUGAAUAACUCCGGAGCCUGACGGUACCGCUAAAGGAAGCCCCGGCUAACUCCGUGCCAGCAGCCGCGGUAAUACGGGGGGGGCAAGCGUUGUUCGGAAUUACUGGGCGUAAAGGGCUCGUAGGCGGCCAACUAAGUCGGACGUGAAAUCCCCAGGCUCAACCUGGGAACUGCGUCUGAUACUGGAUGGCUUGAAUUCGGGAGAGGGAUGCAGAAUUCCAGGUGUAGCGGUGAAAUGCGUAGAUAUCUGGAGGAAUACCGGUGGCGAAGGCGGCAUCCUGGACCGACAUUGACGCUGAGGAGCGAAAGCUAGGGGAGCAAACGGGAUUAGAUACCCCCGUAGUCC
rnacentral:rRNA from 1 species